rnacentral:lncRNA from 1 species
CUCAUUUAGGAAGGAAGUUAGUGGGAGGGUUAUUUCAUCGGUUACUUCAUUCAUUCCAUUCAUUUUUACUGAUUCUACACUUUGAAGAAAAUAGAGAGAAACUUAGAGAGAGAAUCAUAGAGAGUUUUGAAGGAGGAAGGAAGGAGAACUAAAGAUCCACCCUAAGGACUAACAAUUAGACUUAUCACCAUGUAAGAAUAUUUCCACUUUUGAUUUUGUUUCUCAUUUUUAUCAAUUUAUUUUGGAAAUCAGUGCUGUUCUAUGAAAAUAAAAUUUAUUUUUCUCUUAUGAGAUUCGAUUUGCUAGUUAUUCCAAUUAAGUUAAGAUUCUCUUCUUAAAAUUGGAAGUCAAAUUUUUAUGAUAAAAUAAAGUUGUUUUGAAUUUCUCGUGAAGGAAAGAGAUUGGUAGUAGUAUAAUAUAUGCAGGUUGUCUUUUAGAGAGGAUAGAUAUAAUUUUGAUUUAGUGAAUUUGAGUCAAACAUUUUGUUGAAGCUAUAACCAUUAUUGCAUUUAUUCCAAUUGGAAAAAAAAAAUAUAUCUUAAUUCUUCUAUCUAUUCAAUACUUAGAAUAUGUAUAAGUUCAGCUUUUUGUGUACCCAGGAUGUUUGAUAGUACUAGUUCUUUACUUCAUACCUCAAUUUGGAAUUAUUAGAGGAUCGAAGGCUUCUAUAUACUAAUAUUAAUUAAUUAAUAAGAAAAGAAAUGUCCCUUGAAUUUACCAUUUUGCCCCUAUAAGGGGCAAUUUGGUAAUCUACUAAUUGUUGGUUGAGUUUUUUUUUUUUUAACAAUGGCCAUUUUUGCCCCUAAUCAAUUUUUUUUAAUUAUUUUCUAAUUUUUAUAUUUUUAAUAACUUUUAAUUAUUUUCCAAUUUUUAUAUUUUUAACUUUUUCAAUUUUUUCUCCCAAAUUCAGUUUACAUUGCCGUUAUGGAAUAUUAAGGUAUCGUUUGACCCGACAUUUUUCAAACUUCUCUACAUUUUUAAGGAGAAGUUAGGUCAAAGAUAAUAUCAACUAAAUACUUACUAAAAAAAGUACUUUUAGAACAAAUAGGUUAAAUCUAGGGUUAAUAUUGCAUUAAAGGGUUAAUAGGCUUUUACCCUCCGCCAUUUAGGAGUCUUUUGGUUUACCCCCUAUCAAAAAAAACUAGGAGAUUCCCCCUUGCAAAAUGAAGAUUCCAUGGUUCACCCCCCUAAAGUCAGUUGUCAGCAUCUUACUAUGUAAAUUAGCUUAUGUGGCAGGCUGAUUGUAUAAUAAUUAAUUGACACAUCAUAAUUUUUAUAUUUUUAUUUUUAAAAGUACAUUUAAAAGUGAAAUACCUAAAAUAUCCCUAAUGAAAAAUAAGAAAUCUCAUUUCCUUUUCAUUCUCUUCCAGCGUAAAUCCUUUCUCUCUUCUUCCUUAUUUUCUUUCUUCUCCUAUCUCCCUCUGUUCUUCCAUUUCUUCUUCCUUCUAUUCUCUCUUCUCUUCUCUCACAGACUCACACCUUUUCUUCUCCUUUCUCCCCUUUUUGCUUCAACAACACAUAGUAACAACACACCAUAACAACAACACAUCUUCUCAAAUCAACACAACAUCAACAACAACUCACAACAACAACAACACACAUCAACAAUCCAAAAAAUUCAGAAGAUUGCUGUUGGGUUUUGAUUUUUUUUUUCUUCAGAUUUUUCAAUCUCCCUCUUCUAUCUUCUUUUUCGAAUUAGCCUUUUUUUGGAUUAACCGUACCCUUUUUUUUUUCUUUGAUUCUCCUUCUCCUAUCUUUUAAUGGAAUUAGAAGAAAAACAAGAAAUUAGUAACAAAUUCACUUGUUCUUGAGUUUCUAAGAACAGUCUUCAUACACAGAAAUUAAAAAAACCAGAAAUCUAAAAACCUCUUUCUUAUAUCAACCUCAAUCUCCUACCAUAUUCUUUUUAAGAUUUCUUUUUGAUUUUUUUUUCCAGAUCAACAACAAGAGGGGGGAGAGAGAGAGAGAGAGAGAGAGAGAGAGAGAGAGAGAUAGAGCGAAUAAGAAGAAGGGAAAUGGGAGAAGAGAGGGGUACGGGAGAGAAGAGAGGGGAGUUGGGUUGAAGAAGAGGGAAGAAAAGAAUGAAGAGAAGAGAGAAGGGUACGGUGGAGUGGAGAGAAGAGAGGGAUGAAAGUUUUUUUUUUUAAUAAAAGAAAUAUAAAUUGAAUAAACAAAAAUAUAAAUAAUUUUUGUAAAAAAAAUAGAAAAAAAUUAUAAAAUUCCAACUCAGCACGCCAAAUCAUCUAAUUUAUACAGAUAGAUGCUAACAGUUGGCUUUAGGGGGUGAACCAAGGAAUCUUCAUUUUGCAAGGGGAAAUCUACAAGUUUUUUUUAUGAUAGGGGGUAAUCCAAAAGACUCCCAAAUGGCAGGGGGUAAAAGCCUAUUAACCCUAAAUUAAAUCUAAGGUUAAUAUAGUAAUGUCGUACCCCAAAUUUUGACCAUUUUUUUUCUAUUCUUACCCAUUUUAUUAGGUUACUUUAAAGUACCUCAUCUUUGUUCCGAUUGCGGACCCUCUUCUCUCCCUUUAUUUUCUUUUUAUUUUCAUUAUCUAAUUUCCACCUUUUAUUAAUUUUAAAGUUAGUUACCUUUUAAUAUUUAAUAAUGUUUAUUUUCCAUUUUUGUCCAAUGUUGUCAAUAAGUCCGAAAAUUUCCAGCAAGGGUCCAAAAAAAUUUCUUCGUGCACCUCAUGUUCAGGCAAAUUCAUAGGGUCAAAUUUUUGUUGCCAAAUCCAGUAACGCAGUAGUAACCUCUGCAAGUUAUUUCCUUAUUCUAUUCAACCCUAAUGCUAUAAAAGCAAGCCUGUAAAAUACAGAAGAAAAAGAGGAAAAACAUAGAGAAAGCCAGAGACAACAGAGACACACAUAAGCAGCCGGGAAUCAAAUCAACCACGAGGUCAGACUCGACUCACAACAGCCAAACCCUCAAGCCAGAAUUACACCGAGAGCCAACAACAUCACAGACUACCAACAUCAAGGGAACGACGCCGUACAUCAACCGAAACAGCCAUCACAGAACCGGCCAGAAAGAAACCAAAUCGAAAUCAAAAGGUAGUAUUUCAUUAACUUUUAGAUCUAGGCUCGUAUAGUUAUUUUAUGAGAUUUGUGAGUUUAGAAUCGAGUAUAGGAGGAAAGAACAAGUAGAAAGAACCAAAAAAAUUUAAAAAAUAAGUUGUUAGGGUUCCGGCGCGGUGGUGCCGCCGCACUGGCAGGCCAACCGCCGCCGGAACCCCAUCCUUUCCAUCGGAGAAGAUGAAGAAAAUAGGAGAGAGAAGGGAGAAAAAAACGUGUGAGGAGAGAGAAGGAAAAUUGGAAAUGAAUGAAUUUUGUGAACUACAACCUAUAUAUAGGCCUCUUUGAUCCCAUACGCGUGGGUGUACGGCCUUACCAUGCACCCAUGCACCCUUGUCCUUUGAAUCUUUGAUCUUGUGGUCUAUGUUGCUCCUCUGCAUGAUUGAACCAAAGCUGUCCGAUCUUAAUAUGUCUGAUCUUAAUCAUGCGGCUAAUAUUUAACCUGAUUACCCGCUCCAGUUACCAGUAAACCGACCUGGUUCGGAUCUUUUUUUUUAAGCCCAGUUCCUCUUUCAAUUCCUGCACCCCCUGUUUACUGUUGCACCCCUCUCCCUUGCAUUUUUAUUCAUAUUUUCAUGCAUAUUUCCUUUACGUCUUUUUAUCGAAUUCUUUUAUUCUGCAUUAUUUCUUUUAUUAUUUACCUAUGUCAUUUACUUUAUUGCAUAAUCGUUUAUAAUGUAUUUAGGCUUUUAAUAUAAUCCAUUUAUUCCGUAACUUAGAAUGUAAAUUAGGUUUAAAUGUAAAUUAUUUAUUUCCGUCAUUUACUUUCUCGCAGACCAUAGCAUGUAUAAUAGGUUUUUAUGUAAUAGUUGUAGGUGUGUGUAUGCUUUUCUCUUUAUGUUUCUAGAUUAGGUUAAUGGUCCUUGUGGUGGUCAAACGCCACCAUAAAGGUACCUACGCUUUUAUCUUUUCUUGCUCCGUUAGUGUUAAAUUUAGUAUAGCUAUCAUUCAAAAACAACAAAAACAUGCAAAUAACAAAAAUCACAAAAACAUUUUUCAUAAUAAACCUUGAUCCUAAAUCAAGUGAUCGUCUCUUUUUCAUUUUGUUUUCUUGAUCAAAUAUCAAUCAAUUUAAUCAUACUUCGAGUCAUCUUUCCUUUUAAUAAAAAAAACACAAACAAACUCUUAUUUGCCACUUCGCUUUUCUUUUAAAACCAUUUUCAAAACUAAUAAAAAAUACAAAACCAAUCAAAUGGUAUUUCUACCCCGAACUACGAGGUUUUGAUCCCUUACGGGUACGUAGGCAUAGGACUUUGUCCUUCCAAAUCAAUAAAAAAUGUAGAUAAUUAGGUCUUUAUUUUUCCACUUUAAUUCUUUCUUUUCAAAAAAAUAAGCAAGCAAGUCAUAGCACAUUAAUUAAAUAAAAUCAAGAUGUUCUGGUAGAGUACUACGAAUAUUUAGGGUGCUAACACCUUCCCUAAAUAUAACCAACCCCCGAACCUUAAAUCUCUCAAUAUGGGGUGUUUUGAACUUUUUCCCCUUUUUCUUAAAAAUUAAAUGUUCAGUCGUGAAAUAAAUUAGUGAGUCAAAAGCUAAUCAAAUAGCCUUGAUCUCCGAAAAAUGACGCGACAAGUAAAGUCACACGAAAAAAUUAGGUUAAAUCUAGGGAUAAUAUUGCAGGUUAACAUUUAGAAAUAAGAGAUGUCAUUUUGCAUAAAUUAAAUCUAGGGUUAAUAUAAUUUGUUUAGUAAAAUUAAAGAGAAAAAUUAGGAGAUAUUUGUUUAUUUUGAUUUCCCUAACAAUUAACGUUAACAUUUUGAUCAAAUUAAACAUGGUUAAUUAAUUAAAUAGGAUUAAUACAGUAAAAUUAAGCAAAGAAGUUAGGUUAAUUCUAAGGCAAAAUUUUGCGUCCGGGUUAACUUUAAGAAAUAAAAUAAAAUAGGUUAACUAUAGCAAGACGGUUUAACAUUUAUAAGCAAGAGAUUAAGUUAAGUAUAGCUAGACUGGUUAACGGUUAUUCAUUUCCAAAAAAAACAGCAUAUAAUUGGGAACAUACUUUUAUUUUACUUUAGAUAAACAUUAAAUGCAAAGGUGUGGAGGGAAAAAUUAGAAAUGACAUUUUGCAUAAAUUAAAUCUAGGGUUAAUAUAAUAAAGUCACACGAAAAAAUAGGUUAAAUCUAGGGUUAAUAUUGCAUCACGGGUUAACAUUUAGAAAUAAG